GCCCGUGUAGCUCAGUGGAUAGAGCGUCGCCGUCCUAAGGCGAGCGUCGGGGGUUCGAGUUCCUCCUCGGGCACCA
rnacentral:tRNA from 1 species